rnacentral:rRNA from 1 species
UACCAGCACCCCGAGUGGUCGGGACGAUUAUUGGGCCUAAAGCAUCCGUAGCCGGUUUUACAAGUCCCCCGUUAAAUCCAGCUGCUUAACAGAUGGGCUGCGGAGGAUACUAUAAGACUAGGAGGCAGGAGAGGCAAGCGGUACUCAGUGGGUAGGGGUAAAAUCCGUUGAUCCAUUGAAGACCACCAGUGGCGAAGGCGGCUUGCCAGAACGCGCUCGACGGUGAGGGAUGAAAGCUGGGGGAGCAAACGGG